rnacentral:rRNA from 1 species
AGAGUUUGAUCAUGGCUCAGGAUGAACGCUGGCGGCGUGCCUAAUACAUGCAAGUCGAGCGGUAAGGCCCCUUCGGGGGUACACGAGCGGCGGACGGCUGAGUAACGCGUAGGAACAUACCCCGAAGUGAGGGAUAAGCACCAGAAAUGGUGUCUAAUACCGCAUGUGAUCCAAGGAUUAAAGCUUCGGCGCUUCGGGAAUGGCCUGCGUAAGAUUAGCUUGUUGGUGAGGUAAUGGCUCACCAAGGCGACGAUCUUUAGCUGGUCUGAGAGGAUGACCAGCCAGACUGGGACUGAGAACGGCCCAGACUCCUACGGGAGGCAGCAGUAGGGAAUUUUCCACAAUGGACGAAAGUCUGAUGGAGCAACGCCGCGUGCAGGAUGAAUGCCUUCGGGUUGUAAACUGCUUUUAUAUGUGACGAAUAUGACGGUAGCAUAUGAAUAAGGAUCGGCUAACUCCGUGCCAGCAGCCGCGGUCAUACGGAGGAUCCAAGCGUUAUCCGGAUUUACUGGGCGUAAAGAGUUGCGUAGGUGGCGAAGUAAGUUGGUAGUGAAAGCGUUCGGCUCAACCGGAUAAACAUUACCAAAACUGCUUUAGCUAGAGGAUGAGAGAGGUUAUUGGAAUUCCCUGUGUAGGAGUGAAAUCCGUAGAUAUAGGGAGGAACACCGAUGGCGUAGGCAGAUAACUGGCUCAUUCCUGACACUAAGGCACGAAAGCGUGGGGAGCAAACGGGAUUAGAUACCCCGGUAGUCCACGCCGUAAACAAUGGAUGCUAGCUGUUAUAGGUAUCGACCCCUGUAGUAGCGAAGCUAACGCGUUAAGCAUCCCGCCUGUGGAGUACGGUCGCAAGACUAAAACUUAAAGGAAUUGACGG